UAUACCCAUGGCAUGCUAAAGGAUCUUCAAGACCAGUAUUGAGAAAGAUUUUAGCAGUGUAAUAUACAGCAAAAUGGAGUAAACGGUCACAUAUGUUCAUUGAAUCAGCAUUUUAAUAACAAUCAAAGUCUCAAGUGAUCUUGUUGAAAUGGAAAAUUCUUCUUCAAAUCCCAGUAAUCCUACAUCAGCUUCAUCUCAGGUUAAUUUGCUUGCUUGGAAAUUUGAUUAACAAGCAUGUAGAAGAGCUAUUAUUGAGAUGAUAAUAAUGGAUGAACUCCCGGUUAAGUUUGUUAAGUAUAAGGGUUUUCGAAAUUGCAUGAAAAUUAUUCAACCUUUACUUGCGGUUCCAUCUUGGUCUACAAUCACUUAAGAUUGUUAUGAGAUGUAUCUUUAUGUAAAGAACAAACUUAGGGCUAAAAUUAAAAGGGAUGCACUUAGACUUU